rnacentral:lncRNA from 1 species
UCACAUGAUUUAACUAUGACAGGAUCAAACAAUACUAGCGAAGGUGGGAAACCUUUCACUUCAAGUAAGUAUCAUAACAAAACAUAACACUUCAAAUUAAACAAAAACACGCCAAAAACAAAAUAGCGACUUCAACCAAGAACAACAAACACACUCGCAGAAUAACUGAAGAGUCCCACUAACACUUGCCCCACUCGAAACCCGACGGGACCUCCUUAGCACAGCUGUUAAGAACAAAGUUCAAGGAGGGCAAUAAUGUAUCAAAGUUAACACCCAAGAAGGAAGUUUUAACAGAAUUGCAAAGGCAUACUGCGGCCUCAAAGUUAGCAAGUCCAAAGAAGAUGCUGCAACAAGAUGCUGCAACAAGGUUCGGUUGGCGGGGUUCCUAGUUGUACGCUACCGAGAAAGUUAUUCAGCACGCCGGCACAUGCACCGAACUGGAAUCCGUUUCUAGGGCAAGUGGCUUGAGCAGAUACUGGGUCUGAACUUAACAAAGCGAAGAACAGAAUGUUGAGAGUGAGGAGAAAUGCAGUUGUUUUCAAAGCCAUUAUGGGACUGUGGAAUGUGAAGUGAAAACUAGCUUCCUUAGAAGUAUUUAAAGGUAGUUGCUAG